GCGGCAUGCCUUACACAUGCAAGUCGAACGGCAGCAUGAUCUAGCUUGCUAGUAUUGAUGGCGAGUGGCGAACGGGUGAGUAAUACAUCGGAACGUGCCCUGUAGUGGGGGAUAACUAGUCGAAAGAUUAGCUAAUACCGCAUACGACCUGUAGGGUGAAAGUGGGGGACCGCAAGGCCUCAUGCUAUAGGAGCGGCCGAUGUCUGAUUAGCUAGUUGGUGAGGUAAAGGCUCACCAAGGCGACGAUCAGUAGCUGGUCUGAGAGGACGAUCAGCCACACUGGGACUGAGACACGGCCCAGACUCCUCCGGGAGGCAGCAGUGGGGAAUUUUGGACAAUGGGGGCAACCCUGAUCCAGCAAUGCCGCGUGUGUGAAGAAGGCCUUCGGGUUGUAAAGCACUUUUGUCCGGGAAAGAAAUCGCACUUACUAAUAUUAGGUGUGGAUUGACGGUACCCGGAAGAAUAAGGACCGGCUAACUACGUUGCCAGCAGGCCGCGGUAAUGCGUAGGGUCCAAGCGUUAAUCCGGGAAUUACUGGGCGUAAAGC
rnacentral:rRNA from 1 species